rnacentral:rRNA from 1 species
GAUGAACGCUGGCGGCGUGCCUAAUACAUGCAAGUCGAGCGAACAGACGAGGAGCUUGCUCCUCUGACGUUAGCGGCGGACGGGUGAGUAACACGUGGCUAAACUACCUAUAAGACUGGGAUAACUUCGGGAAACCGGAGCUAAUCCCGGAUAAUAUAUUGAACCGCAUGGUUCAAUAGUGAAAGACGGUUUUGCUGUCACUUAUAGCUGGAUCCGCGCCGCAUUAGCUAGUUGGUAAGGUAACGGCUUACCAAGGCAACGAUGCGUAGCCGACCUGAGAGGGUGAUCGGCCACACUGGAACGGGGACACGGUGCAGGCACCUACGGGAGGCAGCAGUAGGGAAUCUUCCGCAAUGGGCGAAAGCUUGACGGAGCAACGCCGCGUGAGUGAUGAAGGUCUUCGGAUCGUAAAACUCUGUUAUUAGGGAAGAACAAAUGUGUAAGUAACUAUGCACGUCUUGACGGUACCUAAUCAGAAAGCCACGGCUAACUACGUG